AUUGAACGCUGGCGGCAGGCUUAAUACAUGCAAGUCGAGCGGGGGAGGUUGCUUCGGUAACUGACCUAGCGGCGGACGGGUGAGUAAUGCUUAGGAAUCUGCCUAUUAGUGGGGGACAACACUCCGAAAGGGAUGCUAAUACCGCAUACGCCCUACGGGGGAAAGCAGGGGAUCUUCGGACCUUGCGCUAAUAGAUGAGCCUAAGUCGGAUUAGCUAGUUGGUGGGGUAAAGGCCUACCAAGGCGACGAUCUGUAGCGGGUCUGAGAGGAUGAUCCGCCACACUGGGACUGAGACACGGCCCAGACUCCUACGGGAGGCAGCAGUGGGGAAUAUUGGACAAUGGGCGGAAGCCUGAUCCAGCCAUGCCGCGUGUGUGAAGAAGGCCUUUUGGUUGUAAAGCACUUUAAGCGAGGAGGAGGCUACCUGGAUUAAUACUCUAGGAUAGUGGACGUUACUCGCAGAAUAAGCACCGGCUAACUCUGUGCCAGCAGCCGCAGUAACAC
rnacentral:rRNA from 1 species